AGUUCGAUCAUGGCUCAGAUUGAACGCUGGCUGGAUGCUUUACAUGCAAGUCGAACGGCAGCACACGGACUUCGGUCUGGUGGCGAGUGGCGAACAGGUGAGUAAUGUAUCGGAACGUGCCCUAGUAGCGGGGGAUAACUACGCGAAAGCGUAGCUAAUACCACGCCGCCGUGAGAAAGCGGGGGACGUCCGGGCCUGCUAUUAGAGCAGCGAAUAUCGGAUUAGCUAGUUGGUGGGUAACAGCUCGCCAGGCGGCGAUCGUAACUGGUUUGAGGAAGGACGACAGCACACUGGGACUGAAGUUACGGCCCAGACUCCUACGGGAGGCAGCAGUGGGGAAUUUUGGACAAUGGGGAAACCCUGAUCCAGCCAUCCCGCGUGUGCGAUGAAGGCCUUCGGGUUAUGCAUACUUGGCAGGAAAGAAACGGCUGGAUAAUACCCCGUGCAACUGGCCACCUGCAGAAUAAGCGCAGCAACUACGUGCCAGCAGCCGCGGUAAUACGUAGGGUGCAAGCGUUAAUCGGAAUUACUGGGCGUGAAGCGUGCGCAGGCGGUUCGGAAAGAAAGAUGUGAAAUCCCAGAGCUUAACUUUGGAACUGCAUUUUAACUACCGAGCUAGAGUGUCAGGAGGUGGAAUUCCGCGUGUAGCAGUGAAAUGCGUAGAUAUGCGGAGGAACACCGAUAGCGAAGGCAGCCUCACAGGAUAACACUGACGCUCUCAUGCACGAAAGCGUGGGAGCAAACAGGAUUAGAUACCCUGGUAGUCCCCCUUCAACGAUAUCAACUAGCUGUUGGGGCCUUCCGGGCCUUGGUAGCGCAGCUAACGCGUGAGUUGACGCCUGGGAAAUUACGGUCGCAAGAUUAAAACUCAAAGGAAUUGACGGGGACCCGCACAAGCGGUGGAUGAUGUGGAUUAAUUCGAUGCAACGCGAAAAACCUACCACCCUUGACAUAUCUGGAAUCCCGAAGAGAUUUGCAGGAAUUUCCCUGAAGAACCGGAACACAGGUGCUGCAUGGCUUUGUCGUCAGCUCGUGUCGUGAAUGUGGGUUAGACCACAACAGGCACAGCCUUGUCGUGCUGAUUGCUGAAAGGCGCAUAACCGAGACUGCCGGUGACAAACCCGGAGGUCAGGAUGACGUCAGUCCUCAUGGCCCUUAUGGGUGGGGCUUCACACGUCAUACAAUGGUCGGGACAGAGGUCGCCAACCCGCGAGAGGCCGUCCCAGAAACCCGAUCGUAGUCCGGAUCGCAGUCUGCAACUCGACUGCGUGAAGUCCGGAGAUCCUUUAGUAAUCGCGGAUCAGCAUGUCGCGGUGAAUACGUUCCCGGGUCUUGUACACCGCCCAAUCACACCAUGGGAGUGGGUUUUACCAGAAGUAGUUAGCCUAACCAUCAGGAGGGCGAUUACCACGGUAGGAUUCAUGACUGGGGUGAAGUCGUAACAAGAUGG
rnacentral:rRNA from 1 species